GGCAGGGAGGCCAAACGUCCAGGAGCCCAGAGGCAGCAGGAGCUCUGGGGAAGGCCCUGCUUCGCUGCUGUGGGGGUGCCCCAGGGUCUCCCUGCAUUCCCCCUUCCCUCUCUUCCAGAGAAGAGAACAACGAUAAACAGAAUGAAUGAGAGGGAGGAGGAAACAAUACCCAUGAAACUGUAAUACUUUUACAGCUGCUGGAAGCACUCUUCAAUAGGAACCAAAUAAAUCUAUACCACCUGUCUGUCUGAAUUGGAGGCCAAAUAAUUCUGUUAUUCUAUCUCAACAUUUAAGAAGUAAUAAAGCAUCUCAACCUCAUUUUUCAUGCCAUGAAGAAAACAAACCAGAAGGGGAAUAAUAAGACCUUUGUUAGGCAAUUUACAGGCAUGUGACUUGGAAUUACAGUAAAAUCUUCAUCAUUGAUCCAAAAAUUCUCUGCAAUCUGAAGCACAGUGUCUUUGCUUCAAAUUUGACAUCUCUUACAUUUUAGUUGAUGAAUCCAAUGAUGAAAGAGAUGGAAGCUGACUUUCAAGUUGUUAUUUUGUCUUAUUAAUAAGAGGGAUGGAAUGAUGGAGGAAGAGGUGAUCGAUACACAAGGAAAAGAUAAGACGCAUUCGCAAUUUCAGUCCAAAAACACAUAUGUUAAUAGAAGAAACUACAAGAGCAAUCUUUAAAAGAAAGCUUUUUUGGUGAAAAGUGAUAUAUAGGAUCUUGAUUUAGAAAUUAUUCUGUCUACUGUAGUGACUAAAAAACCCAAACCAAAAUUAAUGGGGAUGACUGUUCCAAACUCAAGUGCAUACAAACAAACCUGAGAAUGUGCAUUUUCUGUAGUAUCUAUUCACACCAGAGGAAGGUUGUAUCAAACUGGUGCAUACAAACCCAAACAGAGGUAACCUUUUAUUACAGGAAAUAUGCUUCCAGGAGCAGGAUGUUAUUAAAUGUGAAUUAGUAUCAAUUGAUUACCCAGAUAAUUCUUCAAACUUAUCUACUUUUUCCAACAACACUUUUUUAAAAUUUUGUGACAAAAAUCAAGAACAGAAGACAUACAAAAUAAAGUAAUUUUUACAAAUUGUAUCAAGAGCAAACAUGUAUUUUGAAGUCAGUUUUAGAUAAAGUAUUUACAACCACUGAAGCUGUCAAAAUUUUUUAUUUGGCUGUAAGAUCAACAUUUCUGAGCUUAAUUUUUUUUCCUCAGAGUUAUGAUUUUUUUCCCCUUGGAAAUUCUGGGUACAUUUUCAGAAGUGGUUAGGUUAUUUAGGUGGUCUUCAGCAUCUAAAGGUCUGCAUUUAUUGUAGAAAUCCUAGCAAAUUGAAAGUAGAAAAACAUUAAAUUUGCACAAUCUGGAGCUCCAUUAGAACAGCCUACUUCAAAGCACCAGUCUGACAAAGCACUUAAAUCUUUUCUGGAUUUCUCUCUCAGCCAUAAUCUUCCCAAUUUUAGCAAGGCAUUUACAUGCUUUAUGUCAAGAACUAGUUUUAAAACUUUACUGAAACAGAGCUGAAAAGUUGCUUUACUGAUUCAAAGUGCCAGAGCAAUUCAAGUUUUCUCCCCCUUUAACUGUAGGUUAUGUGCACUUUGCAUUCCUUGUGAGCUGCUGUUCUUAUACACUGCUCCAACCUUCUGGAAUGCACUGUGUACAGACAGACAGCAUCUACCAACACUCCUCAGAGUGCCUUAACACUUUGAAAGAAUAGCAGUUUUCCCGAUCAAAUAUAUGUUGCACGUCCAACUUAUGAAAAAGAAUUACUAAAAUAAUCUUCACAUAACUUAUUUGAAUGCAUGAAUUUGAAGUCAGAACAAGGAUUUGAGAUCAAUACAGGAUUUGAAACUAGAUAUGCAAUUUUAUUAUAAAGGCAGGCAAAUUAGCGAGAUCAGGGUAGAAGUGAGAGAGCUCAUAAGGGGAGGAGAACAUCUGCCCAACUCAGGUGGGAGCAUUAUUCUUUUCCAGAGGUUAAUAUGUUUCAAGACAACCUCAGAAAUGACCAGCUUACUUUACAAAAAUGACCUUAUCUUCAGAUCUUACAACGUCUGGAUUCAUAUCCAGAUCAUACAACAUCUUCAUAUCCAGAUUGGAUCUCAUGUCUCAGGACCUGUUGUACUCUGCUAGAACAUGUACUAUCACUGUUCCUUUGGAGGCCAUUUCUAUUUGAAGUGAGACUCUCAGAUGCAGAGGAAUAAAAGUAUUUGGUGAGACUGCACAGAUCAAACCAUCCGUGUCUCCUAUGAGACAGACACAUAUGAGUACACAGCAAGGAGUGUCAAAUUCUAACCUUUUGCCUGAAGAAGCUCAAUUGCCUUUCUACCAAGUAUGGACAUGCCAAGAGAAAGAAUUAGCUAACAGAAUAAGGCCAGUUUGGCUUUACACUUCUUUAUCUCCAUCAGUUGUGAAACAUUAUAAAGAUGCCAUUAGACCCCCAGGUUGUCUCCAAUUUUACAGCAGGCUUAUGUGUGAAAGCAGGACAUGGAAUAUAAGCUACAGUUCACCUCAGUGUAUGACUGUCACCACAGAAGAGAUUUCUAGAAAUGCUACUGAUUAAGGAUUAGAUUUACAUGAGUGACUUUUGUUUAUUAUGUUGAUGUAUCCUAAUUAAAUGUGUUUGAUAUGACACCUACCAUGAUGGCACUUAACUGCCGGUGUGGCUGUCUGCACAUUGUAUCCUCUUGUCCCUCCUGAGAAAGCAACUAUCUUAUUUUUAUUCUUACUUGAAUGCCUUCACAAUAUUUUGUUAUGAUCAAACAUUUAGAGGCAGGACAGCCUAAUAGACUUUAAAAAGAAUUGAAAAAACAAGAACUCAUGUUCAAUUUAUCACCAAAGGAAUACUCAGCCCUUGGCAAUAAUAACAAUUUGUGAACAUUUCCCAGCUGUGUCAGACAGAGCUGUGUCCAACAGUAUUAACACUAAGAUUACUAAAUAGGCCUCAUUUUCUUUUUCCUCAACUCCAUGGAUUAUUUAGAUCAGAUUACAAUGCAAUCUAUUUGCUCAUUUCAUCUAUGUACGAUAUAGAUUAAAGCUUGAUAAGUUUACAUGAAACAAUGCAGAUGCAAAGUUCUAGCUGAACUCCAUAUAUUUUUAAUAUCCUAAAUAGGACUGUCUUUAUUUGAAGCAUGAGCUGAAUUAUGCUUUAAGUUCAGAAACACAACAAAUAAUUUGGAAGCUUGCAAGCCACGGUGGAGCUUCCUUGGCAACAUAUUCUAUAAUUGUGACAUACCACUAAAAGUCCAAAGAUCAUGCAGCUUCUGUGCUACAUCGAGUUAUUCUUCCUGUCAUUAAGAGAUUUGUUUUUAAAACUAUGUGUUACACCAUAUUGUGGCAUUUGUGAUGGCAGCAAGAAAGGCAUACGGUUUGUUCUCCUGAUGUGGUAUGUUACCCUACUUGUUCUAUAAAUAUGUGAGUACAAAAAUGAAGACUUAACCAUAACCUAUGAGACUUAAGUGACUGUACAGCAUCCAGCUUUGGAAAGGAAAAAGCAACAACAAAAAGGCAAAGUCUUCAACAGGAAAAAAAGUGCAGUCUCUUCUUCUAAUAGGCUACAGCAAAUCUGCAGACAAAGAAGCAGAAAUGUUAUGUCUGCCCUUAUGAAGUUCCUAUAUGAGCUGCCAGUAGCAGAAGAGUUUCCAGAGCAGGAUGUAGACUGAAGAGUGAUCUAUUCUUGGCAUCAUGCAUGACAUUUCAAAAUUUGAUUACAAAAAUGUGAAUUUUUAAUAAAAAUGCAAAUAUUAAUCUGGGAACUUUCUUUUCCUACAUGUUCAGCACAUGCUAGUGACAAAAAUAUCCUGAAAUACUUAGAUUUCAGAUAUUUCUAAAGUAGUGAUAGCUAGUAUGGCACAGCUUUUCAAAAUUUUUCUGAGACAGAUAUGACAAAUAUAUGACAGAUUAUAAUGUUGCCUAUUCAUUAUUAUUUAACCCAAAAAAAUCAAGCCCCACAAUUUGAUUUUAAAAAACAGAUGUCCUCAAACAGAUGCCCUUGUAAAGGAAAACCUCAGAAGUUCCAAAAGCUUAUAAUUUUUUUAAUCUCUCUGGUUUUUUUCCAUUCUUCUUGUCUAGUUCUCAAUCAUUUAAAUCUGUUCUCAAGAAAGCCUUCUACUCUAGAGAAAAAAGCCAUAAAAUGUACUUCUUAGUUGUUUGUAUGAGAGGGUUUCACAUUCCGCUGUGUGGCCAGACAAAUAGUUACAGUCAGAUACAGCAGAUACAGCUGAACAAUUCCAUGCCAUAGAAAUCCAGAGUCCAACCAAUGUGCCUUUUACAUGGGAUGUGAGGCAAUCUGCAUUAGAAUAGUUGGCAAAGUCUCAGCAAGUAUUGAAAACUACCAUUUACUGAAAUGUUACUGGAGGCUGUGAGAGAUGAAGUUCAGUCUGGCUCAGCUCAACAGACCAAGAUGCAAUACAGUUGGAGUCAUAUCUGCACCUCCUGCCUGAUCAUUCAUGGUAUUAGACAAAGCCCUUUAGUGUGCCCAUCUGCAUGGAAAGUGGUAAUGACAGCUGGUUUUCUGCCUGACUCUGUCUGAGGGCCAUUUUAUGUUCUAGAGCAUUAAACAGUAGAUGUA